rnacentral:rRNA from 1 species
CACGUAGGGUGCGAGCGUUGUCCGGAUUUAUUGGGCGUAAAGAGCGUGUAGGCGGCCAUGUAGGUCCGUUGUGAAAACUCGAGGCUCAACCUCGAGACGCCGAUGGAAACCAUGUGGCUAGAGUCCGGAAGAGGAGAGUGGAAUUCCUGGUGUAGCGGUGAAAUGCGCAGAUAUCAGGAAGAACACCCGUGGCUAAGGCGGCUCUCUAGUACGGUACUGACGCUGAGACGCGAAAGCGUGGGGAGCGAACAGG